rnacentral:rRNA from 1 species
GCAGAGAGUGCGAACGGGUGAGUAACGCGUGGGUAAUCUACCCUGUUAGUGGGGGAUAACCCUCCGAAAGGAGGGCUAAUACCGCAUAAUAUCUUUAUCCCACAAGAGGUAAAGAUUAAAGAUGGCCUCUAUACUAUGCUAUCACUUCAGGAUGAGCCCGCGUCCUAUUAGUUAGUUGGUGGGGUAAUGGCCUACCAAGACUACAAUGGGUAGCCGGUCUGAGAGGAUGUACGGCCACACUGGGACUGAGAUACGGCCCAGACUCCUACGGGAGGCAGCAGUGGGGAAUAUUGCGCAAUGGGGGAAACCCUGACGCAGCGACGCCGCGUGGAUGAUGAAGGCCCUUGGGUUGUAAAAUCCUGUUCUGGGGGAAGAAAGCUUAAGAGUCCAAUAAACCCUUAAGCCUGACGGUACCCCAAGAGAAAGCUCCGGCUAAUUAUGUGCCAGCAGCCGCGGUAAUACAUAAGGAGCAAGCGUUAUCCGGAAUUAUUGGGCGUAAAGAGCUCGUAGGCGGUCUUAAAAGUCAGGUGUGAAAUUAUCAGGCUCAACCUGAUAAGGUCAUCUGAAACUUUAAGACUUGAGGUUAGAAGAGGAAAGUGGAAUUCCCGGUGUAGCGGUGAAAUGCGUAGAUAUCGGGAGGAACCACCAGUGGCGAAGGCGGCUUUCUGGUCUAUCUCUGACGCUGAGGAGCGAAAGCUAGGGGAGCAAACGGGAUUAGAUACCCCGGUAGUCCUAGCUGUAAACGAUGGAUACUAGGUGUGGGAGGUAUCGACCCCUUCUGUGCCGUAGCUAACGCAUUAAGUAUCCCGCCUGGGGAGUACGGUCGCAAGGCUGAAACUCAAAUGAAUUGACGG